UAUUGUAUGUAUUCUUAGGGCUAGAUUUUGGAAGUUUAAUUUUUUUGUUUGAAAAAAUUAAAUUUUGAUCUAUAUGCGUUUAGUUUUGUGUAUAUUAAACACUUUUUAAGUUGUAUUUAAGUUUAAUGAAUUUUCUUUUAGUUAGUUAUUUGAGUUUAGGGUAUAUUUAGGGUGUAGACGACUUCUAUGAAGUCUUCGAGACGACUUCCAGAAAGUCUUCUUGUGUUUUUUUACGUUAGAAGGCUUCCAAGUCUUCCGAGUUUAAAAUAUUAAAUUCUUCUUAUUCCCGCUUAAAAUAUUUUAGUUUCCCGCUUAAACUC
rnacentral:lncRNA from 1 species